UUUCUUCGACUUCCACUCGCAUCGCCUUGCUUUUCGCGUGUGCGUGGGAGCAGCCGGUGAAAGUGAAACCUAGAUCGGUGAAACACUUUCCCCCAAUCAGCCGCCUCCUCCCAAUCCAAUCCUCUCCUCGUCUCCUCCCCAAUCGCUGCCUCUUUUAUCCUCUCCAAUCCCCGCUUCCAUCACCACACAGGGCUGUGAGGAGGAGAUGGGUGGAGGCGCGCAGGAGGAGCCUCUGCAAGACCGCAUCCUGAAGGAGGGCGGCGGGACUAGACGGGACGACAACGGGAGGAGGCGUUGCAGGAGCAGGGCGGCGGCGCAUCGCCACAACCGGCUGGUGCUCGAGCCCGCCGCCUCUUCGCGUUGCUCGCUGACUCCUCGCGUCACCCGCCCCCAAGUCAGAUGACGAUGCGAAUCAGUGGAGGAGGGGACCAUGGAGGAGAGGAAUGAUGCAUGGAGAUGUCGUGGUUAGCGACGGAGCGCUAGCGGCGGGCGACGACCGGGCCAGGCAAGUCCAUCUCGUCCCUCUCCUCUCGGUCUCUCUCUCCUGCACUCUGGGCGAUGACCCCCAGUGCCUCUACUACACCUCUUUGCUUCUUCCCCGGAUAGCCCACUGGUGAAGAGAUCCCCUUUUUGGAUCACGAAGAGCAUGGAGCUUCUCAGAUUUCUGAGGGAAAUUCUACGGAGUCUGAUUACCAUCAGAUAGGGUUUGGGUGUGCAGAAGAUUUUCAUAGCGAUGACAAUUGCAGAAUUGGUGUUGUCCAUGGUUACUAUAGCCUGAAGGACCAUCCACGGCAAGUCGAAUCUCGAAUGGCAUGUAUUUAUAUGGAUUUGAGGUGAACCGACUGAUUCUGCCUUGCUGUCAUAUCAUUGAAGUGUCACGUGCCUAAGGUUUCAGACUUGCAAUGGUUAUGACGGAUUUAGUGAUAGCUGACCAUAUGGCCUGUGACAUUCAACGUGUGGUGGAAAAGAACUUACCUCCAUGGUUGAUGCGUAUUAGUGCCCUAGGCGUCCAACUACAUGAGCCGAUCCAAGUAACAUACUGCUUGGCGGCGUGCUGCGGAAUAGGCCGUGCCUCCUCUUCUCCCCCAAUCGUCGCCUCCUCUCCUCCUCCCCGAUCCGCGGCGUACAGAGUAGGCAGGUGGAGCAGCACGACCCCGGGCUCCAGACCGUGCAGAAGAGAUGAGGGGACAGAGGUGGCUCAAGCGGAGGACGACGGGCAUGAGCGAGCGACGGCGCGCGUGGAGGAGGUACGUGUGGUGGCCGGACAAGCGGGCGAGGAUGGCCAGGCCACAACAAGAUUCACCUUCAGAGGAAAGAAGCCAUCUACUUGAAUGUGCUUUUGGCAUUCUUUCUAGAAGAGAAAAUAAGAUUUAGAUUGUAGGUCGCUUCAACCAAGAGGCAGAGGUACAUUCGGAAUUUGUUAUGUACUUUUGCAUGCUUGUAGAUUGCUAUCCCCUUUUAUUAGUUGCAUACAGUUAUUGGAUGGAAACCUAAGGUCUUUGUGCACUUCAUUAUGGAUAAACCAAUUUGUUGUAUAUACAAUAUUUUUGGCUGGAUAUAUACGCAUAGGUCUGAUUGCAAACAUGUUUCUUGCUACUGUUGGGAAGUCUGGGAAUGACCUGCUAUUGAAUUCUGUAGGGUGCCGAUUAGCAGUGAGUUUCUUUAUUUUUCUGGGAAUGACAUUAUGCAAUUUUCCGAGCAGCAAUCUUGGGAUAUCGGCAGGUUUGACAAGACUUUAUUUAUCUUUAAAGGGCCUCCGAAUCCUCUCAAUUUCUUUACUAACUUCAUCUUUUCGUGUUUUGUUAAUAUGUUAAUAUGCUUUCUUCAGGCUUGGUUCCCGUUUAGUUCUUGUCUUCUUGCUUUAAGUGUUACCGUAGAAAAGGUCUUGUUGUUUCAGCACGGAUAUGUUAUUUUUGCUAUAUUCUAAAGCUAAUAUUAUCCUUCAAUCUGUAAUGGAGGUUUAUUCCGAGUUCUCUUUUCUGCAUCUUUGGUAAGUACGCUUACUCAAAAUGGGAGCCUUAUUUCAGCAAUGGUGACAUGCUAUGCGGUUGCCCUUUAUUUCUAUACUCCCAGCGGCAAGUGCUCGUUGGCUGUUGGAUGGCGUUUUAUGGUUAUUUGUCAUACAUGAAUGCAUGUUGUGGCUACCUCAUGUUGUGAUAUUGUUUCCAUGUAUUUAAAGUGGAUAUGCAUCAUUAACGAAUCUUUGUUUCUUGCCUCUUUGUUUGCCUUGCAUUGAUGGAGAUCAUAAAGUUUCUAAUUCGUAUUUUAUCUCCUGAAAAAAUACUGACUUUUUUCUUGCAUCAAAUCAGGGCCAAAUAAAAGAAGUUUUCUAUUCAUGGUAGAAGCACAGUUUUAUUAGGGAAAUGAUUUCUAUUAUACAAUGAAUUCUUGAGGUACAGGUGGCUCUGAGUGCAUAUAAUCUGUGUUGAUGUAUUUAGCCAUGGCGUUUAUGUCACAUGUAUGGUACAGUCGUAUUCAGCCAAGCUUUGCAGGCUUUUUUCACUAAUAUCAAGAUAAAGAAGUUGUCUGGCAUGGUCGCUUUAAUACGAAAGAUCGUGUUAAUUUGGUCGAUGCACAAUUGCAGAAGAUAAAGAACUUUUCUGGCAUGUUAGCUUCAAUAAUAAGGAAUAUGACAGAAGCUAUAUUGCUGAAGAUGCCUACGGUUCAGCAGCUUAUGAUGAUUUACUUCAGCAGCUUAUGAUGUCUAUGGGAGGUUGGUGCAGUGUGUGACGGGAAGAAACGAGGUGAAGCUUCUCCCAAUCGUCUGGCGGUGAGGAGGACGCGAGUUGGAGGUGGAUUGAGCUCGAUGGCCAGGAGGGGCCGUUAACUGAUUGGGGAGUUUGGUGCAGCGUGUGAUGGCAGGAAACGAGGGCUCUAUGUAAAUCCGGAAUGAUGUUUGGUACAGGCCGGGCAAUGGAGAAUCAUUGUUAAAGGUGAUAUUGCAGGCAUCAUCAUGACCACAUCAAAGGUCCUAAACUCUAGGUGAGAUCUUUCUUAUUUUUUCAUCUCUUGAGAAUGAAUCAUCUCCUGCAUAGUUAUUAAUAAGACUAUAUUUGUGUGACAUUGUACUGGCUCAUUGGUAAUUGAUAGUGCUUUGCCUUUUCAUACUCGCAGCUAUUUUUUGUUGCUCAUCAUGCCUUUUCUUAUGAAUUAGUAGUGAUCCUGUAAGGCAUGAAUCAACAGGAAAAAUUAUAGAAAGGAAAAUAAUAGCGAGAAGGAGGGUGAGUAGAAAGAAGCAUUUAUACUCAUUAACAUUGAUGUUGAUUCAUAUUAUCAGACCGGUUUGUUUUAUUAGUUGGGUCAGCUGAAUGUUAAGACGGGAGGUGGGAUAGAUAGUCCUCAUUGUACCAUGAAAUUUGAAAAUAACUAAUUUUUUUUGUUGAUGAAGCCGCUGAAAAUAUUGGUUCUCACGUACUUACACCUUUCAGUUAAAUACAAAAUCUUUUGUUAUUGGAAUGUUUCAACUGAAUAUAUCAAGGCAAGGAAUUAAUUGACAAGAUGAUCAGAUACAAUAUAUUAGUACAUUGCCAAUGUUUUUUAAUACUUGAUGUAUGCUAAAAAAAUUUGGUUUGCCUUUUAAUAGUACCCCUCUGGCCCAAAUUAAUUAGUUGACACACAUGGUACUGGAAUCAAAACUCGACAUAGUAAUGGGCUUGCGACAAUUAAUCGGCCUGAAAUUAAUUUCUUGCCUUGAUACAUGAUACAUGAAGAACCACAUCCUCGAUGUCCUGUUCCAGGUCCACAGCUACUGCCUUCCCCAAGAAGGCCAUCUUUGAGGCUAGAUCAGCAAGGUCACCGUCUACAGAGGACUCAUUUUUUGCCUCACAAUUUCAUUUCUACAGGCUUAGUAUGGGAGGAACCUGUGGUUAUGAUGUAUAAUAAUUCUGGUAUGCGAGUAUGAUAAAGACCACUUUGUGUGGCCUGCUCACAUCUGUUCUUUGCUUCUUAGUUAUGAUCUUGGUGUAUUCACAUUGAAGAAAAUAACACCACUUUAUAUGUACUUAUUGAAUGUCUUGAUGGCACAAAAAAACAUGAGAUUGGCUUCUAUGUUAUACACAUUCAUUUCUCUUUUGUAUUAACAAAUGGUUGGAUGAAAAAAAAAUUGUCGCUUCUGCAGCAUACAUGUGUUAUCUUUAUAUAAUUGGUUGAAUGUUUUUUUAUAAAAAAAUGCUUAUAUAGGCUUAAGGGGCCACGACAACCUAAUGAAUUCUUGGACAACUAUAUAAACAUCAGCCGUGUAAACCUUAUGAUUAACUAUCUCGCUUUUACCUCUGCGCCGGGGUGCACCGGGUCAUCUAGAUUGUUCAGAGAAAGGUCGGUGCUUAUAGAAGGAUAGAAUACAGAUCUCCUGGUGGACUAUGCUUUCUUAUUUGUUGAAGUGAGAUAUGAUUGUUGGCUGGAGACUCAGAGCUCAUAGAAGGUCAAAGUUCCAUUCCUGGAUACAGUUCAGCAUGUAUAAAUCACUUCAGUUACACAUUUCUUUUGUCAUUCCAAUAGCCCUGCUACUAUUUUGAGUCUGCUGCAAUCCAUAUGCAUAUUCAGUCAACUUUUUUGUUGUUGCAGUGAUGUGAUAAGCAACCUACUUGUUGAAGUGCAUCUCAAUUAGAUCUCUGAAACAAGCACCGUAUUAUUGGGUUAUACUGAAUGCAACUAUUCAAUUCUUUUGCAGUUGGUGAAGAACCGUUUGGGAUCCUCAUUUUAACUGAAAGUUUCACUAAAUCCAUUAAAGGCUGUCAGAUAUUGAAGCCCUAGAACUAUAGGAGUGCAGCUUGCACGAAUAAAUAAGGUUAAUAACCAGUUCCUGCUGCUUUGAUUCUUUGACUAAUAAACAUGCCUGUAAAUGUUUAUUCAUGUCAAAUGCAAGACACGUUUAAGACAGCUCACUAAUGAGGAAAAAUAACUUUAAUUAAGUGUCUACCGUUCUCCCUUGAUGGUCAACAUAUUGUGAUGUAAGAUUUGUAGGACUUCAUGCAAGUCUUAAUUCUAUUCUCGCACCUUGCUUUCUACAAGCAGCUUUAUGAAUUUGAUAUCAAGUCUUGUCUUUUAGAUCUCUUUGAACAGUAAUUGUUAAACGAUUCAUAUGAAUGAUGUAGAUCAAAUUAUGUGCACUUCGUGGUACAGCUAUUGAAGUCCCAAAACCCUGAUGAGACACGUAGUAAUUCAGAUAUGUAUGCUACCUUUAAGAUUUCUGAUUGGUAUUCCAUUUUUGUUGGUGAAGCGUUCUUCCUUUUCCGUACCUCAGCCAUUUUCACCUGCAAUUUAUUAUAUAGUUAUAUGAUUAAUUAAAGCUCUGUUUUUUUAUGUUCACUUCGUGGGACUACUCUAAGUUUGCUAUUGUGGUGUACAAAACUUGGUGUCUGGUUUUAAUUGUUCAUUGAUAGGCAUUUUUUCUAUCGCCUGACAGAAUUUUCGACCUUGUUAACAAUCUUAUAAAGAGAGAAAUUAGGAUUGUGUCCCGGUUAAACAUGGCUCCUGAGGUGCAAGGCGUACUAACUGCUGCAGUUUUGGCGGUCCAUCUUCUCGAAGCAAAGCCAUAGGCCAUGGACCUGCCGCUCUGCUCUAAUUUGGUAGCAACCUGACAGUUAGCGAGAGAGCAGUUCGGGACGGGGCUACCUUACCGGAGAUCUGGACGGUUUGGAGUUAGAAUGGCCAAAUCCUAAUUUUCUGUUUAACCCCUUUUCCUUAUUUAUAUGUAUUUUAUAGCUUCCCAGUUAUAUUACCUAUCUCACCAUUAGAGUAUAACUAUACAUAUUCUAUCCGCUGUGUUGUAUGGUAGUGUAUUGCUAUUGGUGAUUUUCUGAUCAACCUGGUUUGCAACCAAA